UUACACGACUCAGUAAUGCACUACAACAUGUUAUCGUUAAUUUUGAUUCAUCAUUACUCUGUUAAUCACAGAGUUGAGCUAAAGUAAAUCAAUAAUAAAGGAUAAAUAAUAUAAAUAUAAAAAUAAAACCCCAAAGAGUAUAUUUAACACCCCCUACUGGUUAGGAGGUAACAAGCCCCGCCUUCCCCUGCUCUGUACCGUCACAUGUGCUCAGACACAGAGAGAGACGGAGGUGCACGAGACCAUCGCUGAUUUUCACCGCCAAGCUUGUUGCUGGAAAAUAACCCUAAAUUCGAUAAAUUGAGCAAAUAUCCAUACCGGAGAUCUGCAUGGACCUUGGAGAAACGGACCUGAUCUGUUGUGAACAUUUUGGACUUUGAAACCAUCGCGAUCUGCACGGAUGCGGAUGAAACGGACAAGAUCCUCUCUGAGAGUUGAACAUUAGAAGCGUGCUGGAGAGUUAAACUGGGACUGGGCGAAUCAGGCUAAUUGAAAAGCUAACUAGCCUAAUGCUCAUAGCUGUAGCUGUAGCUGACCACGUUUUCACUGUGGGAGAACACACGGGGUUUCUCACGGAGUUCAGCCACUCUGAGCACUCAGCUUGUGUGCUGAUGAUGUUCUAGUAUUACUUGUUGAAUAUUAAAUGCACUAAAAUAAGAUGAUGGGAUAAGUUAAUUUUGAUCUUACAGGUCAUGAAUCUAUUUUAUUUUUGUUACAUUUGAUGCUCGAGCAGCACUGUGUAGAUAUCCCUGCAUAUUGCUGUUGUGCCAAUGCCUUACCACAUACUGUAAAACUACAGCCUGUGGGCUUUUGUGUACUUUUUGGUAAUUUUAUUUUGUACAUUGACUGUAAUUAACAUAUUGCUUCAUUGCUAUGCAGUGCAAAGCAAUGCUCCUGUAAUUCAGUUAAAGGGGCAGUACUAUAAAAAAUAAUCUACCAUAGUUCAUGGUUUAUUUAUGAUUUCUGAUAGAAAUGUGCACCUUGAUGAUAGAAUAAGCUGAUUGUGAUUUAAAGAUUGCAUUCAUGAUUAAGAUGCACUGUAGACUAUAGUUAGAAAUUAGAAUUAAUGUUUUGUGCUUGUUUUGUUAUAGCACUUACAUUAUUUACAUAUGGCCAUAUAUAUCAUUAGAGUGUGAAUUGAAUUAGUAAUAGCCCUGUUGUUUACAGGCUAGGUUUUUUUGUGGGAUCGUGAGACCUGGAUUUCUUCCUGACGAGGAAGAUGGCGAGCCUUUCCCUUUGAACUGAACCACAGCCAUUCUGAGUUGGCCCAGAAGGGCAGGUUGCUCUUCUCUCACGAACAAUUGCAACAGUGCGGUAGGACAAAAUCGCACCAAUCACAGACUUUUGACCUUUUGGAUUUGACGCGACUGAACACUGACUAUUAAGCCGGCAAGACUGACAUAUCUGAGCUCAGAUAAGAUUCUGAUUGUUAUUAUUAUUGCUGUCACUGUAUAUUAUCUCGUGUUUUCAUUCCUGUUUAUGAAGUGCUGUUAACUUGUUGCUAAAUAGUUUAAUACAAUUCAAAGCAACUUUACCUGUGGCUCCAGUCAUUCUUCUCCACGCAACUCACCUUAUCCCUCCUACGAAUCUAGCUAUUGGCCCAUUCUCUCCAUCUUACUUUAAUAUCCCCUACCCUAUCCUGUACUUGGCUACAGUAGCAUUGGACAAACAGAGGAAGACCAAUAGAUUUAGAGUUAUACCAAGUAAUAGAAACAUCAGGAAGAAUGAACAUGUGAAGCUUGAGAAUUACCAAGAGUGGAGCUUGAGAAGAUGUGGAGGGUGAAGGCAUCAGUGGUCCCUGCUGUAAUCAGAGCACUCGGGGCAGUGACUCCGAAAACUGAGGAAAUGGCUACAGCAAAUCCCAGUAAUGACAUCUGAGAUCCGUAUCCAGAAGAGCACAGUCAUAGGACAAGCAAAGAUACUGCGCAGGACCCUCAAACUCCCAGGCCUCUGGUAGAGGACCCGAGCUUGAAGGAUAAAGACUGCCUCUGUGUGUGUGUGUGUGGUUAUUUCUGUACUCUGGACAAGAACAGACCCAUCAUACCUGAAUAGAACAAGUUUUGCACUGUAUUAGUCAGCAUUGUUCAGUAAAGAAAACUUUAUCUCAUUAUAUCCUGCGCUGUCAGAAAGUAAUACCCCCUGAGCAUGUUGUUUUUCCAGGAUAGACUGCUCUGCUUUUCAAGGUUUCACUGGUUUGAAUAUAAGUUAUAAAUAUAAGUUUUCAUGGCCCUGCAAAGAUUUCUCAUUUCCUGAAAAAAGGUCUUGCGCAGUAUAGAAUUUAUUGUGAGGGCUGUUUCUUUUCUCCCAGACAGAUUAUGUGUGUAACCAUGUUGUAGUGACAGUAAUUAUUUUGUAAUCCGUCAGAAUGACAGACAGCUGCGGCACUCAUCAGUGCUACUAAAACUCUGAAAAUGACUGUCAACAUAAACCCUGAUUGCAAUGUA